GCAAGUCGAGCGAACAGACGAGGAGCUUGCUCCUCUGACGUUAGCGGCGGACGGGUGAGUAACACGUGGGUAACCUACCUAUAAGACUGGAAUAACUCCGGGAAACCGGGGCUAAUGCCGGAUAAUAUGCGGAACCGCAUGGUUCCGCAAUGAAAGACGGUUUUGCUGUCACUUAUAGAUGGACCCGCGCCGUAUUAGCUAGUUGGUAAGGUAACGGCUUACCAAGGCAACGAUACGUAGCCGACCUGAGAGGGUGAUCGGCCACACUGGAACUGAGACACGGUCCAGACUCCUACCGGAGGCAGCAGUAGGGAAUCUUCCGCAAUGGGCGAAAGCCUGACGGAGCAACGCCGCGUGAGUGAUGAAGGUCUUCGGAUCGUAAAACUCUGUUAUUAGGGAAGAACAAGUGCGUAGGUAACUAUGCGCACCUUGACGGUACCUAAUCAGAAAGCCACGG
rnacentral:rRNA from 1 species